CUCUCUCUAACUUGAGUUCCUUUACGCCAAUAAGACCCCUAUUUAUAGCCUUUCAGGCUUUACAAGAAGAUAAGAACAAAAUACUUAAAAAUAACCAUAUAACAUCCUUAUCCUUAUCCAAAUUAGUUUUAUUCUUAUCCAAUUUGAUCCUUCUUCUGAUCCACUAAAACCACCUCGAUUCUUUAUCCCAACCAAAAUAAUUCACUCAAACCAUCUCAAUCUUUAUCCCAACCGAAGUAUUUGGAACAGCCUCCGCCCUAUCCGCAACGGUUGAACCUAUCCGGAAUUUUGAUCGUCCCGAAUCAUUAAACAACAAGUCAUUUUCGUCAGUCGGUCAAAACACCAGUCGUAUAUUGCGAUCAACGGCAGUUUCUC
rnacentral:lncRNA from 1 species